GUCCAGGCUGCUGCAGCUCUGCAGCCAGGGAAAGGGGCAGGGAGAAAACCCUCUCUGGAGCUGGGAGAGCUACAGCAGGAAUAUCGGCUCCCAGUCUCAGCUUGUGGCAUUUCUGUUCACUUGUACAAAGCCAUGUGGGAGAGGUAAGUUUUAGGUGGUUUUUGGCAGCUGGGGGAUUCCCUGGGGGGCUGAGAAGGCAGCAACGGAUGGCAGAGCAUCGUUCCCACCAAGAGGGUCCUAAGAGAAGCUGAGGAAGAGGAGAAGAUCCAGCUGAAGUGAUCCUCACUAGUCCUGCCUGUGCAAUUGAUGAGAGGGAAGCAAAGAGGGA